UACUACUACGGCCGGAGUUGCUGCUAAGGGCUGUAGCACGCUCUACCUACCCGUUAUUUUGGGACAACUCCGCUAUUUUCUGUUCUUCCUUUUUGGUUCGGCAUUCUUGCCUCACACUUCGGAGUUCUUGAACCUUCGUGAACAAUAGGCGAAGGGAAUGGCUCCAAGUUCCUCUUCUUCAUUCUACUAUUCGUCUGGUUCAAAAAACUCAAAAACGCUACGAGUAGCAGUAGCCUGGGCACUUUUGCAUCAAGCGGGCCGAUUGACCGGUUUCUGCUACACAGUUCACUUCGUGGAUUUCCGAUAUAACGAGGGGAUUAAUUGGUCGUCAGCAGCUAUAAAGAAGUACUGGAUGUCGGCAAUAUUGAUACGAUACGACUAUUGAAUGAAGCUGUGCGCAAGUACGUCGAUGUCUCUCCGAAAGCCAAGAAGGAACCGUAGGGUCUGGCAGAACCUAGCUAGAAAG